CAGCAGCCGCGGUAAUACGAAGGGUGCAAGCGUUAAUCGGAACUACUGGGCGUAAAGCGUGCGUAGGCGGUUUGUUAAGUCUGUUGUGAAAUCCCCGGGCUCAACCUGGGAAUGGCAAUGGAUACUGGCAAGCUAGAGUGUGUCAGAGGAUGGUGGAAUUCCCGGUGUAGCGGUGAAAUGCGUAGAGAUCGGGAGGAACAUCAGUGGCGAAGGCGGCCGUCUGGGACAACACUGACGCUGAGGCACGAAAGCGUGGGGAGCAAACAGGAUUAGAUACCCCGGUAGUCCCUGUCUCUUAUAC
rnacentral:rRNA from 1 species